AUUGAACGCUGGCGGCGUGCUUUACACAUGCAAGUCGAACGGCAGCAUGGGAGCUUGCUCCUGAUGGCGAGUGGCGGACGGGUGAGUAAAACAUCGGAACGUGCCUUAUAGUGGGGGAUAACGAGUUGAAAGAUUUGCUAAUACCGCAUGAAUGUCUGAGGAUAAAAGCUGGGGAUCAGAAAUGACCUGGCGCUAUGAGAGCGGCCGAUGGCCGAUUAGCUAGUUGGUAGGGUAAAGGCCUACCAAGGCAACGAUCCGUAGCGGGUCUGAGAGGAUGAUCCGCCACACUGGGACUGAGACACGGCCCAGACUCCUACGGGAGGCAGCAGUGGGGAAUUUUGGACAAUGGGCGCAAGCCUGAUCCAGCCAUGCCGCGUGAGUGAAGAAGG
rnacentral:rRNA from 1 species